CCCUGGCUCAGGAUGAACGCUGGCGGCGUGCCUAAUACAUGCAAGUCGAGCGAAUGGAUUAAGAGCUUGCUCUUAUGAAGUUAGCGGCGGACGGGUGAGUAACACGUGGGUAACCUACCCAUAAGACUGGGAUAACUCCGGGAAACCGGGGCUAAUACCGGAUAAUAUUUUGAACUGCAUAGUUCGAAAUUGAAAGGCGGCUUCGGCUGUCACUUAUGGAUGGACCCGCGUCGCAUUAGCUAGUUGGUGAGGUAACGGCUCACCAAGGCGACGAUGCGUAGCCGACCUGAGAGGGUGAUCGGCCACACUGGGACUGAGACACGGCCCAGACUCCUACGGGAGGCAGCAGUAGGGAAUCUUCCGCAAUGGACGAAAGUCUGACGGAGCAACGCCGCGUGAGUGAUGAAGGCUUUCGGGUCGUAAAACUCUGUUGUUAGGGAAGAACAAGUGCUAGUUGAAUAAGCUGGCACCUUGACGGUACCUAACCAGAAAGCCACGGCUAACUA
rnacentral:rRNA from 1 species